rnacentral:rRNA from 1 species
AUGUGGAAGAGUGGCGAACGGGUGAGGAACACGUAAGAAUCUGCCCCUCGGUCGGGGACAACUCUUGGAAACGAGAGCUGAUACCCGAUACGCUGUGGAGUGAAAGAAUUUCGCCGAGGGAUGAUCUUGCGUCUGAUUAGCUAGUUGGUGUGGUAAAGGCAUACCAAGGCGACGAUCAGUAGCUGGUCUGAGAGGAUGAACAGCCACAUUGGAACUGAGACACGGUCCAAACUCC